AAUUAAUAUGUAUAGUUCAUAUAUUAAGACUAAUGAAUAUUAAAUUUCAAAAGUAGGAUCUUGUACAAGUCACUGUCUUUGUCUAGAAUUUAAUAUACAAAGAAGCUAAUAAGUAUUUUCAAAUAGAAGUUUUGAAAUUUGAAAUGUGUCCUCAUCUGAAAUUACAUAUUAUCAGGAAAAAAAACAAAUGAGAAUAUUGCUUAUCAAAAUUUAUGGUAUGAGGUUAAAUCUAUAAGUAUAAGCAAAUUAACAGCCUGAAAUAUUUUGAAUAUUAAACAGGAAAGAAUGAAAUAAAUCAGCUAAUUAUUUAACUCAAGGAGUUCUAAUACAUACAGCUAAGGGAAACUAGCAAGGAAGAACUCAGGAAAACAAAAGUAUGUGUAACUUAACUAUCUUAAAGUGGGUGCAAAUUGUUAAAGCGUUUUGCUCUUACAUUUUAUUUCUUUUUCUCUAUUCUAAUUCACUCGGAGUAAAUUCACAUCUAUAUCAUAACUAUUUUUUUCUAAGUAUUGAUUCUGUCCUGAACUGUUUCUAAAAUUGAUUUCAGUGCUGCAAUUUCUUUAAUAUUCUUUCCCGAUACCCUUCCAUCUUUUCAACCAAGUCUGCCUCCCACUUCAGUGCCCUUUCCUAGGACCUACAGUGGACACUACUGUACCGUGGGACCAGCACUCUUUUCCAUGAAUUGCCUACUCCUUCGUGGGAUUGCGUUAUGGGUUGUUGGUUGGGUUGUGCCAGAUCCAAGGUGGAAGAAAAACAGUCCCCUUUAACCUUGAAAGUAAGAGAAAGAGUCAGCAGUCAGGCUCUCCCUGGGUAUGUGGACUUGUAAAAUGUUAAGCCUGAAUCUUCUGGUAGCCCUUUUAAUGCCAUAUGGACCAGUCUGUAAUGAGAAUGUGGAGUGGAACAGGUGCACCCAGAGGAGCAGAUAGCAGAGGGAAGGGAGAGCCUCCAUUGUUUUCAGCCAGGUCAUCCUGGCUGCUCAGAGCCAUCACAGACCUUAUGUCAACGAGCUAUCCAACAUUCUUUCUGCCUGUCAACCCUGUUUUUGGCUACUUGGAACAAAAAGAAUUGUUACUCAACACGUUGUCUUAUAUUUCCAAUAAUUAUUUUUCGCUGACUGUUGAGAACACAACACAGAUUCUUUAAAUAUUUAGUUCUGAUUCCUUUAGUCAAUCUUUCCUAUAAGUGUGUCCUAUUCCUCUCUGCCUUGAGUACUGUAUUUUCCACUGUUCUACUAGAGAAAUGUUUAAUAAUCUCCAGGGAGGUUUUUUUUCUAUUUUGCUGUAAUGCAUUCUUGAAGAAAAAUAAAUCUCUCCAGUUGUGGGUGGAUUCUCUUUGAUUCCUUUUACUUCAGUGCUGUUUGAUGUAUGCAUCCCGUAAUCAAUUAUCUGAAGGCUUAUAGCCCUCUUACCAUGUGACUCAGCUGGCUUGUGUAGGAAUCUCCUGGUCAUCUUACUGUGAGUGGUAGAGCUCACUCUGGUUACUCUGAAACAGCGUCACAUCUUCUCUUGCCAGAAUCAGCAAAUCACAAAAUCCAUAAUCCCCACAUGAGCCGCUCUCAGCUCUCCCAGGCUCAGCUGUUCCUGCAACUGAGUUCCUAUCUUGGAAUGUCAAGUGCCACUCCCUGUCCAGUCUACCUCCUGCAUCACUGGAGAUUAUAGUUCUAAGGAUAAAGUUCAUGUCAGGGUGUGCUUGUUUGUAACACAUUGCUACAGCUUAUAAAAAGCACGGGUCCCUUGUAUCAGAGACCACAGCUAUUAAAACAAGCAGUGGCAAAUAUAAAGAUAUUUGGACAGUACAGGAGAUACAUAGUGUUAGGAAAGUAUAGAACUUACAUAAAGAAAAUAAGUUGCCUCUAGAGCAUUAACCUCUGGGCCCCUGAGUAUUCCAAGGUUAGUUUUUUUAGAGAAAUAAUUUUUAAAGUGGCUGUAGAUUGAUCGAGGAGAUUGGAUAGAAGGUUAUAGAGAGAACCAAGGAAAAGGUCCUUCAACCUCCUGUUCGUGAUGUGGGCUUUCUCUACUGCUGUCAUCCUCUCUUAUCAAACUGUGUUGCCAGAACGGGCAAGGGCCACAGCCAUGGAAGAGGGGCUACCAAAUGGAACUCCAACCUAAGGGCUGGGACCAGGAUCUACCCAUCCCCAUCAAGCGAGGAUUGAUACUAACUACAGCCACUCCUGCGGGGGCCCAGGGCCUCAUUAUCCUAGGGGAAGAGGAGAUGGAGGUGAGAGGAAGAGGAUGGAUGAAUGUGGAAGGCCUUCUGCAGCUUAGCAUGCAAUGGUCAUUUCCUGUAUGCAAGGUCUUCUGCUAUGUUCUGUGCAGGAAAUCAAGAAUGAGAAACAAUUUUGGCCCUAGAGGCCUUACAAAUAUAUCUUCCUAAUUACAAGGUUAUAGUCCUUUGGGAAUUGCAAGUUCCCUUGAAAAUUCACACAAUCCUAACAUGUGUUGUGCCUAGUUUGAUGUGUUCUUAAACUAUUACUAGCUAACACUUCUUACUGCAGAAUUUCUGUGGAAAUGAGACAUAGGUAUUUCUACAGGAUAAAUGAGACGAGUGAAAAGAGGUGUUGAAAAGGAAAACGAAAGGAUGAAACAGAUACAAUUCCUACUUCGCUGUUUUUCAAAGUGCUUAUAGUGAGUGCUCUCCGUUUCUCACCCGAAGGGGAGAAACUUCCUUGGCCUUUUUCUUCAAGUAAAUAGAUUAAAUCUCUCUUAUUGCUAUUGCUAUUUGACCUUUUUCAUGAAGCAUAGCAAAGAGUUUUUCAUAAUCCUAAUAUAUACUUAUGGUUUGUGACUAAUGAAAAGAAUUAUUUCCAUCCUCUAAAUUAAUAGGCUUGCCUCCCUGCCCAGUAAGUUGUUCCUUCCUAUACAGCAUUCAGUAAAAUAUUUGCUGAGUAACUAAAAUGUCCAAGACACCUAUUUCAGCAAUAUAUGAACUAGAAACAAAACAAUAACUACAAACAUGACUUAUCUCUUCAAGGAAAGGAGUCAAUAUUCUUGUACGGAAAAAGGAUCGUAGAAAAAUACCUAAUAGCAUAGUGUGACAGAAAUUGCGUGGAAAUUACUACAAGGCAGCAAGUGAGAUAGACCCUAAGCUGAGCAGACAAUAAGGGUAUGGCAAUCCUAAAUCUACAUGGUGUGGUGAUUAAGUCCUGCGUCCAUGGAGUCAGAAAGAGCUGGGUCCUGACUCUACUUAUUAACUGUGCAACCUUGAAUAAGUCACUUAUACCAUGAGCUCCAAGUAUCUCAUCCUUAAAAUAGAUACAUUUCAGCACCUUAUUGAAUUUCUUCAGGCUAGGCUCUAGGGAUACAACGGUGAUCAUGACAGUUAUGGUCUCAGGCCUUAUUCAAUAAACAGCAAAGAAUCCAAAUUGGGAUAAGUAUUCUGAAAGGGAGAUAUGGGAAUGAAAACGAAAAGUAAACCAAAAAGUAAAACCUUUCUGAGACCAGUGAUUUUGACAGACACUGGAUUAUAGAGGACCUGAUAAACGACAAUAAGGAUUUUAAACUUUAACCUAAGCAGGAGAAGAAUUGAUUGAAGGGGUUUAAAUACACUUCCUUUACAGAAGUCUUGCGACUGUUACAUGAGAAAUUGGUAUGUAACAUUUUUAGUGCCUUCCUGAUAAAGCCUUUGCACUUCUAACUACUGCGUGAGUUACUCUACAGGGAAUAUAGCUAAACCCGGGUUAUUUGGACACCACAAAUUCCUUUCUUAACAUUUUUGUUUAACAUCUUUGUUCAAUAUUAAUUUAGGGAGAAAGUAAAGAAACUAAUUUUAUAUUACUAAAAUCAUAUACUUCUUUAAAUUGCAAAGAAGGGCUGUAUCCCUUACAUUGAUCAUAACAUUCUAAUUUACUUGGAAUAGUCUGUUCAUUAUUUUCUUUAUUCAUAAUUGGAUAUUGUCAGAGCUAAAACUAUACCUAGAGGUAAAUCAUGUAACUAUGACACAAAACAUUGUUUUUUGUUUGUUUUGGAGACAGUCUCACUCUGUUACCCAGGCUUGAGUGCAGUGGCGCAAUCGUGGCUCACUGGAAACUUCGCCUUCUGAGUUCAAGCGCCUUCUGCCUCAGCCUCCUGAGUAGCUGAGAUUGCAAGGAUGCACCAUGAUGCCCGGAUAACUUUUUGUAUUUUUAGUAGAGACGAGGUUUCAUCAUGUUGGCCAGGCUGCUCUCGAACUCUUGACCUCAAGUGAUCCACCUGCCUUGGCCUUCCAAAGUACUGGGAUUAUAGGCAUGAGCCACCAUGCCCCGCUGCAAAGCAUUGUUUUAAAUAAGAUGUUUUUCUCACUUUGUAUUAGCAAAACGUUUUCUACCUUUUUAUGAUUUUUUUCACUUUCAUUUGUGAUCUCCUACACUAACUUUCUUGAGUGGUAUAUAGUUGGGAGAUAUUAAAUAUAGAUUUUUAAAAUUACCUUUUUUUUCAGGUAAAAAAGCGCUAUUCUAUGUGUUACGUAUUUUCCUAAUUUCAACGUCCUGUGACUGCCCACUUCAGGCAGUUGUCAGAUCUCAGGGUUGAUGAGAGCCCUGCAGUUGCGUUGGGGAAAUUGUGUAUCAGAAAAUGCUCCUUGCUAGAGAUUGGGGCCAGUGAAAAUAGCCCAUCUUUCUUUCUUCCUUCCUUCUCUCCUUUGUUCCUCUGUCAUUUCUUUUUUUUUUUUCUUUUCUUUUUUGAAUCAAGGGCCCAUUCUUCAGGAGAAGUGGUACUAAUUCACAUCUCACUCAUAGAAGGAGUUACAUGUGAAAACCUGAGGUAUCUAGUAGUAUAUUUCUGAUUCCCUCUAUGGAUGCUUAAAAUGCCUUAUAGCUGUGUUUCCCAGACAGGUGCCUGAACGACCCACCCCUGGAUUUAACUCUGAUGGGAAUACAUGUGAAACAUUACUUUAAAACAUAUAUGCAAUUUUUAAGAAACAUGUAAGACACCUCCUCACUCCUACUCACCCUUGAAAUAGUACCCAUUCUUCUCUGAUAAAAGGGACACCUUAGUAGAAAAGUUUUACAAGUUCUGAUGAUACCAGUACUUAAUAAAUGGCCAUAUUAUUAUUAUUAUUAUAAGGAAAGACAAAGAGGAGAUUGAGAGGCUUUGAAGCUUCAGAAGGAGAUUGAACUACACUUUGUAGGCGGGUAGGACAGAUGAAUGGAGAAGAGAGACAGAGUUCUAGACAGAGGACAUGGUGAGAAAAUGUAUGGCAUCAGUCUGCUCAUAGUGAGUUGAAGGGAUCUGGAUAGGACAGGUGGGGUAGAGCAGGUAGAAAAUAGCUUUGUGAUUCAGAGAGAAAAAAUUAUGCUACAGUGUGACAAUGUAAACUCUAGGGUUAAAAAAGAGAGAGAACAUCUUUGAUUCAACAACUUUCUUCACUUUCCGAGGCACAAAAUAAGUUUCAACGAUUAUGAGUAUGAAAAAGUAGCCUCAGAGAUAUAAUCAAAUCCAAUAAAUAAUAUAUAAAUGAAUAUAAUAAAUACAUUUUCCCUCACAGACUCUGAUAAAGAAAGCAGUUAAUAAAUACAGAUGUGUGCUGCUACUGCGUACUGAGAAAGCUUCCAUCCAACCAGAGAAAACAAAUCUGAAGUUAGGUCCCCUUCAGUGAAAAUGCAUGACUGUGAACUUCUUCAUAAUCCAGGAAGGGAGAAAGUACAUACAUUAGUCAAGGCAGUGCACUGUACUGCAUUGUGUAGUCUAUUAAAUAAUAACAUAUAUGAAAUGAAUGGAUCGGCUAUUCAAUGAUAUGUUCACUUACGGAGUAUCAGGUCAACCUGAAAGAAACUAAUAUAACCCCAAAGUUAAAAGGAAGAUACUAUUGUAGUAAAAACUUGAAGCCUCUUAACAUAUCUGUUAAAAGAAAACAAUAAGCAUUAAGUUUAAUAAGCUUAAUAGACUUAACCGAAACUAGCACAAAGGCAGUUCAGUGUUAAGAGUAGGAACUGCCAAAUCACUGCCAUUUGCCCACUUUUCUUCUGGCUUCAAAUAUGAAAUCAAUUAUGUUAAUUUUUUGAAUACGUUGGAACAUUCCAAAAUUUUAUUAUAAUUAUAUAGAAUAUUAGAUAAAACAUUUCCUGUAUUUCCUCCAAAAUGCUAGAAAAGGAGUUGUAUGGUAGAUAAUUCUUAACUGACUUUGCUCUUAUCCAUUCCUACUUAGAGAUUUUUCCCGUAUUUGUGAUAAAUGUGCAGGAUUUUUGUAUGUGAAGUUUCAGUAGAAAACAUUUGUCUUAUAUGUUCUUAGUUUAUACAUCUUUGGGAAAGCCAGUCAAAAGAAACAUGAGAGCUAUUUUUAGGUGCUUUCCCUACAUUUUUAUUGCCUUUUAAUGAAAGAGAUCUUUGGGUUUUUGGGGAGGAGAUGAUAAAUAGUAGGGAGUGUGAAGUUUAAAAGAACAUAUAUCUUGGCUAUAAAUUCCAUAAUGUGAAUACAACCUCUUUUGUUUAGAUCUCUUAAUUUUUUCUCCCAGCAAUGUACAGUCUGUUUGGGAAUCAUUCACAUACUUAAGCUGUAUUUACAUAUAAGAAUCAUGCUUUGGUGAAGUAGGUGAUAAAGGCAUGGGAAUCUUCCAGAAUGUAAAGAGAAAAAAAAAUCAAAUAAUUAGGAGUAAAAAAAAACACUCCAAACUUAAAAAACAUUCACUCAUAUUUAGAUUGAGAGAAAACUCAAAAUGCUGAGCACAUUCAUCCUGAUGAAAUUUCGUAAUUAAAAAAAGGAAAAAAUUAGACAAGCCUCCAAAAAGAGAGAAUGGAA
rnacentral:lncRNA from 1 species